rnacentral:SRP_RNA from 2 species
GCCAGGUGUGGUGGUGCGUGCCUGUAGUCCCAGCUACUUGGGAGGCUGAGGCAGGAGAAUCGCUUGAGCUCAGGAGGUCGAGGCUGCAGUGAGCUGAGGUGGUACCACCGCACUCCAGCCUCAGCGACAGAGUGAGACCCUGUCUCAA